UGUAAUUGAUGCGAACACUGCUGACACUUUUAAUCACAAAGUGACAGUCAAUUUUUGUAAGCGUGUUAUCUCAUUUCAAAUUACAUCAAUGCUAAUGGUUCCUUCUGAUUCUGUUCCAGAAAUAUCAUUCUGUACUCACUGUGCUGCUGCUAUGCUAUUCCACAGUAUCUCUGCACUGGACUUCAUUCUCAGACUGUGAGAUUUUCAUCUCAAGUUGGUGUUCAUAUGGAGCGGCAGUCCAUGUGUCUUCAGAUCAGAAUUGGAGAGAAUCAUUUCCCAGGAUUCUAUAUUAUGUCCCAGUUCCACAUCG
ensembl:lncRNA